CGGGAAUUGAUAAGAUGUUUCGGUUGUGUUUUCUUGAUGCAUGUAUUGCUUGUCUUACGUGAUUUACAGAUAAAUUAUGAGACUAAAAAUUCAAUGUAAAUAGGAAUUUCUUGAUUAAGUGAAUGAAUGAAUGGUAGCUUUACUGGAUAUCCUCGGAGAUGGUAGACGGACCGGGUACAUAGGGAACUCUACUGUGAAUGUCGCCUCAUACCGGACGGGGUAUCGAGGAUUGGCAUUUUAUCGUUCAUAUCGGACGGGGUAUGGGGA
rnacentral:lncRNA from 1 species